CCCGCUGGCCUACUGCUACCUCUCUAGAUCUGGGGUGAAGCCCAUGGUGAGGCCCAGCGCCUCCUGUGUUUUUUCUUUUCUUUCUCUUUCUUUAUUCCCUGUCGGGCCUCUGAUUAGUUUCAGCCUGUUAGUUUUUUUCCUUAGCUGCGAUUUUAUCAAUUUCCAGGGCAUUGCACUUUUGCAGACAAGCCCCUAAACUUCAUGCAUUUCAUUACUCACAAACGGUGCAUCAUAUGUAAAAACUUUAAAUAUGAAACUUGCUUAGAAUUUUGUGUAGAUUAAUAAUUUGCCACUUUCAUCUAUGUUUAAAAUGUCUAGAAUGUUGUUUGUUUAAAUUUGCUUAAAUAACUUGCUAAAAUGCUUUAUUCCAUAACUAAUUAAUCAUAGCUCCAAACUUAAUAAAAUUUAUAUGUAAAUGGGGUAGAAAAAUUCCUAAUUUAACAUGGUGGCAUCACUUUGCAUGUUUAACAACUAUAAAAUUGUGUUUAGGGCAGAACAGUACCAAAUCCCUAAAUUGCACAUGGGGAUUUUUUCCGGACUUGUUGUUUGUUGUUCCGGCCUCAUUUAAACUUGCCUAGUUAGGCAGUUUUUCAUAUGCUUCACCUCUUGCCAUGUUAAUCAACAUUUAAUAUUGUUGGGUACAUAAACGAGAUCGACCUAAAUAAGUCAUGUGGUGUUUCGUCAAUAUGCAACGGAGUUGCAUAUUGUGCUCCACUUAAUUUGUAGGAUUGUUUGUGCACUUUGCCAUGCCAUGCUUCAUUAAACCGGACAUGCAUCAUACUUGUUUGUGCAUCGUGCCAUGUUCAUGUGGUGGUUGUUUACCAUGUGGUUUGCUUCUUUCCGGUGUUGCUUCUUCGAGUUGGUUCCGAUAACGUCGCAUUGUGAGGAUUCGUUCGACUACGUCCGUUUGUCUUCUUCAUGGACUCGUUCUUCUUCCUUGCGGGAUCUCAGGCAAGAUGAACAUACCCUCGAAAUCACUUCUAUCUUUGCUUGCUAGUUGCUCGCUCUUUUGCUAUGCCUAUGCUGCGAUACCUACCACUUGCUUAUCAUGCCUCCCAUAUUGUUAAGCCAAGCCUCUAACCCAUCUUGUCCUAGCAAACCGUUGUUUGGCUAUGUUACCGCUUUGCUCAGCCCCUCUUAUAGCGUUGUUAGUUGCAGGUGAAGAUUGGAGUUUGUUCCUUGUUGGAACAUGGAUAUUUUGUUGGGAUAUCACAAUAUCUCUUAUGCCUGGUGUUUUGUUACACUCUUGCCGCCCUAGUUUCCGUCAUAUCGGUGUUAUGUUCCCGGAUUUUGCGUUCCUUACACGGUUGGGUUAUAAUGGGAAACCCUUGACAGUUCACGUUGAAUAAAACUCCUCCCGCAAGGCCCAACAUUGGUUUUACCAUUUGCCACCUAGCCUUUUCUUUUCCCUUGGGAGUCGCGCUCCCGAGGGUCAUCAUUAUUUUACCCCCCGGGCCAGUGCUCCUCUGAGUGUUGGUCCAACCUGUCAGCUGCCGGUGGCCACCAGGGGAAACUCUGGGUUGGUCUACCGGAACCUUGGACAAUCAAGUGUGCCUUGAGAACGAGAUAUGGGUAGCUCCUAUCGGGAUUUGUCGGCACAUUCGGGUGGCUUUGCGGGUCUUGUUUUACCAUUGUCGAGGAUGUCAUGUAACCAGGAUGCCGAGUCUGAUCGGAAUGUCUUGGGAGAAGGAAUAUCCUUCGUUGACCGUGAGAGCUUGUGAUGGGCUAAGUUGGGACACCCCUGCAGGGCUUCAACUUUCGAAAGCCGUGCCCGCGGUUAUGGGCAGAUGGGAAUUUGUUAAUGUCUGAUUGUAGAGAACCUGAAACUUAACUUAAUUAAAAUGCACCAACCGCGUGUGUAACCGUGAUGGUCUCUUUUCGGCGGAGUCCGGGAAGCGAACACGGUGUUGGAGUUAUGUUUGGCGUAGGUUGUUCUAGGAUCACUUCUUGAUCAUAGUUUCUCGACCGUGCUUUUGCCUUCUCUUCUUGCUCUCAUUUGCGUAUGUUAGCCACCAAUAUGCUAGUCACUUGCUGCAGCUCCACAUCAUAACUUUUACCUUACCUAUAAGCUUAAAUAGUCUUGAUCGCGAGGGUGUGAGAUUGCUGAGUCCCUGUGACUCACAGAUACUUCCAAAACCAGUUUGCAGGUGCCGAUGUUAACGAGCAGGUGAUGCAACCAAGCUAAAGGAGGAGCUCGAUGAAGAUCUUGUCCUUUGAGUUGUUUCGUUCUAGUUGAUCAGUAGUGGAGCCCAGUUGGGGUCGAUCGGGGAUCUGUGUAGCAUUUGGGGUAGUCUUCUUUUUAUUUGGGUUCCGUAGUCGGACCUUGUGUGUAUCUGGUUGAUGUAAUGUUAUAUUCAUGUAAUUGUGUGAAGUGGCGAUUGUAAGCCAACUAUGUAUCUCUUUCUCUUAUGUAUUACAUGGGUUGUGUGAAGAUUACCUCACUUGCG
rnacentral:lncRNA from 1 species